UGGAACCAAGGUAUCACCAAGACUGGGCUUCUGAAAAUAGGUAUCCCGAACACCGGAAUUGGAAUUUUAGUAUUAUAAUCCUUUCAACUUCGAAAUUUUGCUAUCGGGGUGUGAUUUAGCCGAUCCGCAGUCGCUGUUACGACAGUCCAUCUCACUGCUCCAAUUCUUAGAACGGAUCGGCGCUGGAGCUGGAGCUCGUCUUGUCCGACGGCGCUCCUGGGCGCUCCUCUCCCUGGUCCUCGGCCCUGUCAUCGCUGAUUGGUUGGAGCUCCCUGGCCCGACGGUCUUCUCUGCCCGAGCUCCCUCCCGGCGGCAAGCCGGUCCCGUUCAAUCCCGGCGGAGCUCCCAUCCAUCUCUUCCUCGCGCCUCGUCAGGUACGUGUUCCCUUAUCUUCUUCUUGUCAAUAAUCUGACUCAUGACGUGUUCCCUUAUCAGCUCGUCUUGUCAUCUUGGAGCAGUGUUUACUCUGUUUCUCUGGUUGUUAGCCACACUUGUCUAACCUGUAUAUUUGCUGAAUGUUGUGCCCAAAGGCACACUACAAUAAUCCAAUAAUUGUGCCUCUUUAAUUUGUAAUAUGUGGAGCUCCAAGCUGUUUAUUCUGGAACUUUUAGAACUAAAAUUGCAUGCUAAAUCACAUGGAAACAGUACCUUAAUACCUACAUGGCCAAUAUCUACCUCUAUUUUAGCAUUGUAUGCUUCUUUGUUUUGCAUUGAAGUUACUGUCGAGUUACCGCGCGGCCGUGCUGAACUUGAACUAUCAGGUUACCUCAGUAGCUUGUUUUCUGAAGUGAGCUGCCAAGUUUUCUGAAGUUAGCUGCCAAGUUUUCUCAAGUUUGUUAUAUGCUGCAUAACAAAGGUUUUGCCUAAGUGUGUACAUACAUAAUUCACCUGGGUUAUUUGACUUAAAUUGUGAUGUAGCUGAAGCUCACCUUUGGAAAUAGCUGACACACUUCUGGAAUGACUUCAACAAGAAGGUCGGCGCCUUUUCGGUAUACUAAUCUACUGACCACAACAAUAACUAUUUCAUCAUAGUUUAAGCGCUUGGGAGAGGGAGUAAACAUUGCAGUGUCAACUGCAUUAGGAACCAUGAAAACCUUCUCUAGAGAUAUCCCAGACCUCAAGACAGUGUUCUAUUUGCUUCUAAGUGAGACACAUAUUGCCUGAUCAAUAUCUGCAAGAGUAAACUGCAGCACCUUAUUCAUGUGAAUGCUUCCAGCAUCAGCAAAACCAUAAAGUGAGUGAUCUGUGAAGACAACUUUGUACCCCAUUGUCCUAGCAUGUAUUAAUGCUUCAUGACACAAUGUUGAAAAAGCUUGAUGUCCAUGCACGACAGAAAUCUUCUUGUUGAAAAAACUUUGUACCCCAUUGUCCAUGUGUUGCAAACAGAAAGCUAUAUAGUUUAUGAGGAAAAUAGGACCUUAUGGCCAAGCUUAAGUAGACAUUGUGACAGGUAGUAGAUAUGGCUUUCCACCCCACCAAAGUUUGGGAAGAAAAAGUUGAAUUCAUUACACUGGGCACACAUAGUUGAAGAUACAUCAUGAACUACAAGUUGAAAAUAC
rnacentral:lncRNA from 1 species